rnacentral:rRNA from 1 species
GGGCGUCUCUAUCUCAUUGCGAGAGGAGGCGCACCUAGAGCGUACACGCUGAUACCCGAAAGAUGGUGAACUAAGCCUGGCCAGGACGAAGCCAGGGGAAACCCUGGUGGAGGUCCGCAGCGAUUCUGACGUGCAAAUCGAUCGUCGGAGCUGGGUUUAGGGGCGAAAGACCAAUCGAACCAUCUAGUAGCUGGUUCCCUCUGAAGUUUCCCUCAGGAUAGCUUGCGCUCGGGUUAGACGAGUCUCAUCCGGUAGAGCGAAUGAUUAGAGGCCUUGGGGUCGAAACGACCUCAACCUAUUCUCAAACUCCAAAUAGAUGAGAACUCCGGCUUUCUUGAAAUUUAUUUCUGAAGCCGGGGGCUCGGAUCAGAGUGCCAAGUGGGCCGAUUUU